rnacentral:rRNA from 1 species
UGGGGAAUCUUGGACAAUGGGGGCAACCCUGAUCCAGCGAUGCCGCGUGAGCGAAGAAGGCCUUAGGGUUGUAAAGCUCUUUCGCCCGCGACGAUGAUGACGGUAGCGGGAGAAGAAGCCCCGGCUAACUCCGUGCCAGCAGCCGCGGUAAUACGGAGGGGGCUAGCGUUGUCCGGAAUUACUGGGCGUAAAGCGCGCGUAGGCGGUCCACCAAGUCGGGGGUGAAAGCCCGGGGCUCAACCCCGGAAUGUCCUCCGAGACUGUUUGACUGGAGUCCGGGAGAGGAGAGCGGAAUUCCCAGUGUAGAGGUGAAAUUCGUAGAUAUUGGGAAGAACACCGGUGGCGAAGGCGGCUCUCUGGCCCGCAACUGACGCUGAGGCGCGAAAGCGUGGGGAGCAAACA